rnacentral:rRNA from 1 species
CACGUAGGGCGCAAGCGUUGUCCGGAAUUAUUGGGCGUAAAGAGCUCGUAGGCGGUCUGUUGCGUUCCGCUGUGAAAACUCGGGGCUUAACCCCCGAGCCUGCAGUGGAUACGGGCAGACUAGAGGUAGGUAGGGGAGAAUGGAAUUCCCGGUGUAGCGGUGAAAUGCGCAGAUAUCGGGAGGAACACCAGUGGCGAAGGCGGCUUUCUGGCCUGGUUCUUGACGCUGAGGCGCGAAAGCUAAGGGUAGCAAACGGGG